rnacentral:rRNA from 1 species
UCUUUUAGAUAUUGGGUAGGGGAGCGUUCUGUAAGCCGUUGAAGGUGAAUCGUAAGGUUUGCUGGAGGUAUCAGAAGUGCGAAUGCUGACAUGAGUAACGACAAAGGGGGUGAAAAACCUCCUCGCCGGAAGACCAAGGGUUCCUGUCCAACGUUAAUCGGGGCAGGGUGAGUCGACCCCUAAGGUGAGGCCGAAAGGCGUAAUCGAUGGGAAACGGGUUAAUAUUCCCGUACUUCUGACUAUUGCGAUGGGGGGACGGAGAAGGCUAGGUGGGCCAGGCGACGGUUGUCCUGGUUCAAGUGCGUAGGCUUGAGGGUUAGGUAAAUCCGGCUCUCUCUAAGGCUGAGACACGACGUCGAGCUGCUACGGCAGUGAAGUCAUUGAUGCCAUGCUUCCAGGAAAAGCCUCUAAGCUUCAGAUAGUCAGGAAUCGUACCCCAAACCGACACAGGUGGUCGGGUAGAGAAUACCAAGGCGCUUGAGAGAACUCGGGUGAAGGAACUAGGCAAAAUGGUACCGUAACUUCGGGAGAAGGUACGCUCUUGAUGGUGAAGUCCCUCGCGGAUGGAGCUGACGAGAGUCGCAGAUACCAGGUGGCUGCAACUGUUUAUUAAAAACACAGCACUGUGCAAAAUCGCAAGAUGACGUAUACGGUGUGACGCCUGCCCGGUGCCGGAAGGUUAAUUGAUGGGGUUAGCGCAAGCGAAGCUCUUGAUCGAAGCCCCGGUAAACGGCGGCCGUAACUAUAACGGUCCUAAGGUAGCGAAAUUCCUUGUCGGGUAAGUUCCGACCUGCACGAAUGGCGUAAUGAUGGCCACGCUGUCUCCACCCGAGACUCAGUGAAAUUGAAAUCGCUGUGAAGAUGCAGUGUACCCGCGGCUAGACGGAAAGACCCCGUGAACCUUUACUACAGCUUGGCACUGAACAUUGAACCUACAUGUGUAGGAUAGGUGGGAGGCUAUGAAGACGUGACGCCAGUUGCGUUGGAGCCGUCCUUGAAAUACCACCCUUGUAUGUUUGAUGUUCUAACUUAGACCCAUUAUCUGGGUUGAGGACAGUGCCUGGUGGGUAGUUUGACUGGGGCGGUCUCCUCCCAAAGAGUAACGGAGGAGCACGAAGGUGGGCUAAUCACGGUUGGACAUCGUGAGGUUAGUGCAAUGGCAUAAGCCCGCUUAACUGCGAGAAUGACGGUUCGAGCAGGUGCGAAAGCAGGUCAUAGUGAUCCGGUGGUUCUGUAUGGAAGGGCCAUCGCUCAACGGAUAAAAGGUACUCCGGGGAUAACAGGCUGAUACCGCCCAAGAGUUCAUAUCGACGGCGGUGUUUGGCACCUCGAUGUCGGCUCAUCACAUCCUGGGGCUGAAGUCGGUCCCAAGGGUAUGGCUGUUCGCCAUUUAAAGUGGUACGCGAGCUGGGUUUAGAACGUCGUGAGACAGUUCGGUCCCUAUCUGCCGUGGGCGUUGGAAGAUUGAAGGGGGCUGCUCCUAGUACGAGAGGACCGGAGUGGACGAACCUCUGGUGUUCGGGUUGUGUCGCCAGACGCAUUGCCCGGUAGCUAAGUUCGGAAUUGAUAAGCGCUGAAAGCAUCUAAGCGCGAAGCGAGCCCUGAGAUGAGUCUUCCCUGAUACUUUAAGUAUCCUAAAGGGUUGUUCGAGACUAGAACGUUGAUAGGCAGGGUGUGUAAGCGUUGUGAGGCGUUGAGCUAACCUGUACUAAUUGCCCGUGAGGCUUAACCAU